UACCUGUCGCGGCGGCUCUGUCGCUGAGGGGCAGGGGAGGUGGCGGCGAUAUUUGGGAGGGGGGAGCGGCGGAGGUAGAGGUGGUAGCAAGAACGGGGGUUCGAAGUAAAAACGCUAGGUGAACGAGGGUCAAGGGCCACAUCAUUAAGAAACGGGAACACUCAUCAUGACGAUAGUUAGUUCCCACCCUUUGUCUCGACGAUAAAUCUCUUACCUCACGUCGCCGCUGCUCCACCACCUCGACUCGACACGGGCGCGGCCGCCUCUGGGGCCCCUCAUGCGGCGCCACGACUUCUCCUUCGACGUUGACAUGACGCGGCGGCACCGGUUCUGGUACCUUCGAUUUGGAGUUCUUAGAAGAAACUUGACGGAGUUAAGUGUUCGAAGUCUGUGAAGCGGUAACCAAAGAGUUCGAAGAAAACUAACACUGCCAUGACAACAAGUUCCUUUCGGUCGAUUAUCAACAUGUAGUUUCCUCGUCAGUCUACUACUGCUACCCCUAGAGCUCCUUUUAUGUCUGGGACGGUCACGGUUCGCGCACUUCUCCUACGACAGUUUAGCUCUUAGACGGUCCUCCAGUUCCUUUUCCUUCGUUCGGGUGGUUUUACUAUAUCUUAGUGUUCAAUGGGUCAAUUCUCGACUCUUACGUAGAAACGAUUUCGCGGACUGACUGUACUGAGUCUUUAUGUUCCUUCGAAGGGAACCGUUGUCCUUAGAAUGUCAACUAUAACUCUGAUACUCCUCUUUCCACACCCACAACAUUUUUGCUUUGUUUUAUAUUUUUUCGCGAGUAUGGUACAACGUUACGAGUCUCUCACACAGAGUAAUUCGGACACCAAAACCAGGAAUACCCUCCCACAAGAUAGAGUAUGGCGUGGACUCCUCAGGUUUGUCCGUGUUAGUAUGUAUGUAAACAAUUACGAACACACACUUAUAUCGACUUCUUCGACAGUCCUCUCAUUGACCUCGUUCGAACUACAAGAGGUGAUGUAGUUUGUUGCACGGGAACAGAAGUACACAUAGACAACGUCGAAGACGACUACGACAAGGGUGACUCCUUUUGUACUCGGUAAAGGAGGUCCCAAAUGAACUUCUGUUAGACUAGUUUGUACUGGAGGGUCUCCAUCGUUGGGGAAACGGGUUACCCCUUCUCUACUGGAGUUCCGGUCGGGGAAACGUUGCGCAGCGCUCGGACCUCUUGGACGUCUUCUCCUAGGUAUCUCUAAGUCACGUGUGACUCCUGUGCAGCUCAAAGGGCCUGGUACUUCAGGGACGGUUACCAAUCAUUGACCUGACAUAUUAAGAGGUCACCCGAUUCAAAACAGCAUUUCAUACCUCCGACACCGCAGGCACAUAUAGACCUACGACUUGAAACACAUAUGAUAAAACUUCCAUUUAUUGGACGUGAAGUCAGAAGAAUAGGACGAAGAAGCCCGAAGAGUCGGAACACUUAUAGCACGUGUUCGUCUAUUGACAUGACGUGUACAGUCACUACUCGGACUUGACACAAAAGGUAAACCACUUGAAACACUACCAUGACUCCUUAACACGGAUUUAAAACUCUCCCGACAACUUGAGAGAGUGACUUGAGUAAUAUAUACCCCUUGAUAAACUAGUCUAGUACGGUAUUAAAAUACUGUUUAUGUCACUAAAAACCACGAUAUUAAAGUCAAACGUGUGGUUCGUUUGUAUUGUUGUUGUUUAGUCUUUGACUUUCAGCUAAACAUAAUACCGUAUGUCGUGACAUAAAGUUAAUGGAAGUUUUAUCAUAUGUACAACUUCAGGUCGCUCUCGGGUUAUUUAAAACCACACGUUUGACUUUCAGCUAAACUCAAUGCCGUAUGUCGUGACAUAAUGUUAAUGGUUUUACGAGAAUUCAAAACACAUUAAAAUCAGGUUCAACCGGGUACCCGGAAUUCUUCACUCUUUGUGGAACAACAAGAGGUGAUGUAGUCUACAUACUAGGACGAAGAGUCGGAACACUUAUAGUGCGUAUUCGUC
rnacentral:rRNA from 1 species